rnacentral:lncRNA from 10 species
GCCGGUCCAUGGACUCCAGAUCUAGAACCCAUGCUGGGUAGAAACCCCUUCAACUGCUCAGGGAGUGGGAAGCCAGUGAUGUGGCAGAGGCCUGUUCACUGUCAUGCCUUCAUGCAGAUCUCUGGGGGCAGCGUGUGCACCAUGGAUGUUUAAGGAAGCUUAUUGCCAGCAAUGUCCAGAUGACUGGUGAGCCACAGCAAGAGAGGGGCCUGGCUGCGGGAGGGAUCCAGAAAGCAGGGAGCUGAUGGAGGUUUAGGAUUAGGACCUGAGGAAGGGAUGCUAGGGCAAGGAUGCGGGAGGUAGCAGUGGCCUGAACCCUCCUACACUCUGGCCAC